UGGCCUUGGAAUUUUCUUGAUCAUGGA
rnacentral:piRNA from 1 species